rnacentral:rRNA from 1 species
GAUGAACGCUGGCGGCGUGCCUAAUACAUGCAAGUCGAGCGAACGGAUAAGGAGCUUGCUCCUUUGACGUUAGCGGCGGACGGGUGAGUAACACGUGGGUAACCUACCUAUAAGACUGGAAUAACUUCGGGAAACCGAAGCUAAUGCCGGAUAACAUGUAGAACCGCAUGGUUCUACAGUGAAAGAUGGUUUUGCUAUCACUUAUAGAUGGACCCGCGCCGUAUUAGCUAGUUGGUAAGGUAACGGCUUACCAAGGCAACGAUACGUAGCCGACCUGAGAGGGUGAUCGGCCACACUGGAACUGAGACACGGUCCAGACUCCUACGGGAGGCAGCAGUAGGGAAUCUUCCGCAAUGGGCGAAAGCCUGACGGAGCAACGCCGCGUGAGUGAUGAAGGUCUUCGGAUCGUAAAGCUCUGUUAUUAGGGAAGAACAUGUGCGUAAGUAACUGUGCGCAUCUUGACGGUACCUAAUCAGAAAGCCACGGCUAACUACGUGCCAGCAGCCGCGGUAAUACGUAGGUGGCAAGCGUUAUCCGGAAUUAUUGGGCGUAAAGCGCGCGUAGGCGGUUUCUUAAGUCUGAUGUGAAAACCCACGGCUCAACCGCGGAGGGUCAUUGGAAACUGGGAGACUUGAGUGCAGAAGAGGAAAGUGGAAUUCCAUGUGUAGCGGUGAAAUGCGCAGAGAUAUGGAGGAACACCAGUGGCGAAGGCGACUUUCUGGUCUGUAACUGACGCUGAUGUGCGAAAGCGUGGGGAUCAAACAGGAUAGAUACCCUGGUAGUCCACGCCGUAAACGAU